rnacentral:misc_RNA from 1 species
GAUGAAGAACGUAGCGAAAUGCGAUAAGUAGUGUGAAUUGCAGAAUUCCGUGAAUCAUCGAAUCUUUGAACGCACAUUGCGCCUUCUGGUAUUCCGGAAGGCAUGCCUGUUCGAGAGUCAUUAACAACCGUUUCGAUCCCUUUCUUUCAGAAAUUACAAAGAGGAAAAGGGUUUGGUUAUGGUGGAGGAGGGAAAGGGAGAGUUUAGCCUGUAAAAAAAGAGGCUGUGUUCCGCCUCCCCCCCAAAAUUGUACAGGCGGUCGUGUGCGCCCACGCAUCGAGGUGUUGUAAAAGCUGCCACGGCACUUUUCACCUGUGCAGUGCGAGAUUGGCCAGCCGGUUUAAAAACCCCUCCAAACAAUCAAAGGUUGACCUCGGAUCAGGUAGGGAUACCCGCUGAACUUAAGCAUAUCAAUAAGCGGAGGA